CCUCCAACCCAGCACAUUUAUGAAAUCAUGUAGUGGUUAACCAAGACGUGUUUUUAAAGAAGAUGACUGAUGUUUAGAGUAUACUAUAAACUGAACUAGCUCUGAGAAUAUUUUCCCAAUGAAAGGUUUACUAGUUCCACUGGUGUUGCUGCUCUGUCAGUUAGGAGCACCUGAGAGCUUUCUAAGUGAAGACGCAUCCUCGGGCAAAAAGACAGCACUCCAACCUGACAUCUGGUCUGAGCUGAGAGAUCUGAGAGACAUGGUGGUGCUGCAGAGAGCAGAGCUGAGCCGCACCAUGGCUGAACUACGAGAUACUAAGAACCAGAUGGAGGGGCUAAAAACAGAGAUCUCAGUCAUGGAGUCCAGGCUGAUGAGUUCUGAAGGACAACUUGAGGCAAUGAAGACAGACAUGCAGCCAUAGUGAGCAGAGUAACAUCCGCUGAGAGUGAGGUUGAGAGACUACAGAAGGAGAAUGCAGGUAAAACAGAUAUGGAAUUAUGGUACUUUGUAAUAAUAUGUAAUGUGACUGAUUACUUUCUUCCCUUCCAUUUGUGAGUGUGAAAAAGUGAAUAAUCUACAUAUAUAUAUCGUUGUAUUCACCUCCAUUGAUAGAGAGACCUAAGGUCGCAUUUUCAACCUCUUUUGGAAAAACUGGACAGCAUGGGCCAUUCCACACUGCCACCACCGUGGUCUUCCAGAAUAUAUUCUCAAACACUGGCAACCACUACAACCAAGCUACAGGUACUGUACUGUCUUUGCUUAGUGUAGACCAUGUACUUAAAUACAUAUGCAUCUAAAGUUUAAAGAGCCUGAAUAACGAGUGAAGGCAGAUCAUUUUUGACAUCACCCACUGGGCACAAACUGGUUGAAUCAGCGUUGUUUCAACGUAAUUUGCCAAUGUAUUGUGACGUGGAAUCUAUGUUUAAAAUCAAAUCAAAUCAAAUGUAUUUAUAUAGCCCUUCUUACAUCAUCUGAUAUCACAAAGUGCUGUACAGAAACCCAGCCUAAAACCCCAAACAGCAAGCAUUGCAGGUGUAGAAGCACGGUGGCUAGGAAAAACUCCCUAGAAAGGCCAAAACCUAGGAAGAAACCUAGAGAGGAACCAGGCUAUGAGGGGUGGCCAGUCCUCUUCUGGCCGUGCCGGGUGGAGAUUAUAACAGCACAUGGCCUAGAUGUUCAAAUGUUCAUAAAUGACCAGCAUUGUCAAAUAAUAAUAAUCAUAGUAGUUGUCGAGGGUGCAACAGGUCAUUAACACAAGAGUAAGUGUCAGUUGGCUUUUUCAUAGCCGAUCUUUGAGAGUAUCUCUACCACUCCUGCUGUCUCUAGAGAGUUGAAAACAGCAGGUCUGGGACAGGUAGCACGUCCGGUGAAUAGGUCAGGGUUCCAGCAGGUCUGGGACAACAGGUCUGGGACAGGUAGCACUUCCGGUAAACAGCUCAGGGUUCCAUAGCUGCAGGCAGAACAGUUGGAACUGGAGCAGCAGCACGGCCAGGUGAACUGGGGACAGCAAGGAGUCAUCAAGCCAGGUAGUCCUGAGGCAUGGUCCUAGGGCUCAGGUCCUCCAAGAGAGAGAAAGAGAAAGAGAGAAUUAGAGAGAGCAUAUUUAAAUUCACACAGGACACCGGAAAAGACAAGAGAAAUACUCCAGAUGUGACAGACUGACCCUAGCCCCCCGACACAUAAACUACUGCAGCAUAAAUACUGGAGGCUGAGACAGGAGGGGUCAGGAGACACUGUGGCCCCAUCCAAAAUACAUUCGAUUUGCAAAAAGUCAUCAAAGUAAACUGCUGUUUUGAGGGUGACAUUUCAGCCACAAAUUAUGUUAUCAUGUGUCACGUCCUGACCAGCAGAUGGAGCUGGUGUAGUAGUUUGGGGGUCAGGACGUGGCAGUCUGGUGUGUGUCUUGUGACUCCUGAUCAGGAACAGCUGGGAAUCGUUGUUCCUGAUUGGGAGUCACAUAUGUAGGAGUUGUUUGUCACUGGGGGGUGUGGGUAAUUGUUUCUUGUUUAGUGUGGUUGCACCUGACAGGACUAUUGGCUGUCAGUUUCCUUGUUUUUGUUUUGUAUAGUGUUCUUUCUAAUUAAAUUGAAAGAUGAAUACUAACUCCGCUGCAUUUUGGUCCAUUCCUGAAGACAGCCCUUACAGAAUUACCCACCAACAAAGGACCAAGCAGCGGAAGAAGGCUGGCGAGGUAAGGGAAACCGGGAGGCACCCCCAAGACAUUUUUAGGGGGGGGCACAAGGGGAGUUUUGCGGGGCAAGAAUGGAGCCCCAGGCCAGCUCCCCGCACUAGCAUGGAGGUGCGUGUUCGCAAUCUGGUACGCCCAGCACCAGCACCACGCACCAGGAGUCUAGUGUGUCAACCCAGCCUCGCCAGUCAACAGUCGUCAUCAGAGCUGCCCGCCAGUCAACAGUCGUCAUCAGAGCUGCCCGCCAGUCAACAGUCGUCAUCAGAGCUGCCCGCCAGUCAACAGUCGUCAUCAGAGCUGCCCGCCAGUCAACAGUCGUCAUCAGAGCUGCCCGCCAGUCAACAGUCGUCAUCAGAGCUGCCCGCCAGUCAACAUUCGUCAUCAGAGCUGCCCGCCAGUCAACAGUCGUCAUCAGAGCUGCCCGCCAGUCAACAGUCGUCAGAGCUGCCCGCCAGUCAACAGUCGCCAGAGCUGCCCGCCAGUCAACAGUCGCCAGAGAGGUCAGACUGCGCUGAACUGCCGGAGUGGCCAGACUGCGCUGAACUGCCGG
rnacentral:lncRNA from 1 species